rnacentral:rRNA from 1 species
ACGGGAGGCAGCAGUGGGGAAUAUUGGGCAAUGGGCGCAAGCCUGACCCAGCAACGCCGCGUGAGGGAAGAAGGUUUUCGGAUUGUAAACCUCUGUCCUUGAUGAAAAGAAGUAGAUGGUAAUCGAGGAGGAAGCCCCGGCUAACUACGUGCCAGCAGCCGCGGUAAUACGUAGGGGGCGAGCGUUGUCCGGAAUGAUUGGGCGUAAAGGGCGCGUAGGCGGCCCGUUAAGUCUGGAGUGAAAGUCCUGUUUUCAAGAUGGGAAUUGCUUUGGAUACUGAUGGGCUUGAGUGCAGGAGAGGUUAUCGGAAUUCCCGGUGUAGCGGUGAAAUGCGUAGAGAUCGGGAGGAACACCAGUGGCGAAGGCGGGUAACUGGACUGCAACUGACGCUGAGGCGCGAAAGUGUGGGGAGCAAACAGGAUUAGAUACCCUGGUA